ensembl:snRNA
GAAAAGGGCUUCUGUUGUGAGUGGCACACAUAGGGUAAUUCAGUUGCUCUCUGUGUGGAAUCAACGUCAAGAGAUUUCGGAAGCAAAAAAUAAAUAAAAUCU